ACUGACCUGCUAUUGUUUUGCUUUUAAAAAAGAAACUGGUGCAUCUAAUGUGCUUUUAAAGGGGAUCAGAUGCACUUGGCAAACUGUUGCUACUGCUGCAACUUCCACAGCAGUUUAUUUGCCUGUGAGACUCUUUUAGUCUUCCCAGAACUCCAAGUCACCUAGUUCUAAUUGAUGUCAGAUUCCAUUUCAUCAGCGGGCUGAGCUGUGAAAGCCAUUGCAUGAGGAGUGAAUGCAGACUGCUGGACGCAGGAAUGAGACUAUUUUGAAUUGAUGUCAGGAGCAAAUGGGAACCCACUGCAGUUUGUGGAGCAAUACUUUCUAGGCUAAUACUGCCAAGCAAGCGGACUGCUGCAUUUUACACCAGC